CAGAAAACAGUGGUUCUAAAAGCAGUCCCAAAGACGUGUCUGGAAUAGUGGCUGUAGGAUCCGAUUUUGAACCCAGCUUCCAAUGGUAAGUCAUCUCCUCACUGAGGGUUUCAUACUGAAUCUCCAGGUCUGUUCUGCACAAGGUGAUUUCAUCCAGAACUCUGCGUAGCCCAUUGACAUCGCUCUCCACACUCUGGUGAAGAGCCAGCUCAUUUUCAUACCUUAAGGAACAUUCAUGAUUUUCCGAUCCUCAAUUAUCGGGAAAUAUCUACUAUAGUCGUGAUCAAGACCACGGCAAGAACCAGGCCCAAAUUUCUCAUACCAGCCCUUGAUCUUCUGCUCCAGGUCGGCGUUGGCCUCCUCCAGAGCUCGCACAUUCUCCAGGUAGGAGGCCAGGCGGUCAUUGAGGUUCUGCAUGGUCACCUUCUCGUUGCCUGACAGGAGGCCCCCCUCAUUCAGCGUAAAGCCAGCACAGAGAUUGCCUCCCCCUGCAUUUCCGCCUGAUGAACUGCCCCCGAAGGUGCACGAGAAACCACUUCCAAUUCCAGGCAGGCUGCAAACAUUGCCCACUCCAAAGCCGGACCCCCCGCCAGAGAGCCUGAGCGAUCCUGCAGUAGGACGGGGACAGGCCCUCCUGGAUCCACUGGAGAGUCGAAGAGACAUGGUAUCAGGGCCGAUGCGUUGCACAGCUGUCUUGGAGAGAGCCAGAGUGGAGUGCCUCAUGGUCUCAACUGUUUUGUUUGCCUUUUUAUAGACAAUUCUCAAGUGUGUUCUGGAUGAAAUUCUGCCUACAAAGAGUAAAACAUGGCUUGCCAGCCUCAGCAAGUUAGCAUAAUUGGAUGAUUUUUCCUAAUUAGUAACUAACUUAGCUGGGCUCCUUUCUGUAGGAGGGCAGUUGCCCUCAGGUUGGUGGUUAUCUGAGAAAUGGGUCUGGGUGGAGCCAUGUCAGUUUCCUUAUUGCCUUUUUAAAUUGCGAGUGAGUCAUUCUUUACUUCCAUCCUCAGAAGAUAAAACUCAUCAGUCCACCACACAAUAGAAAUCUGGCGUCAUGGUUUUGGGCUAUUAUGCUAAUAGAUAUCGACAUUUCUGAGACUUUUUCUACUUUUAUUUUCACAGUUCUUUCCACAGAAGUAGAGAACAGUCCUGUUCUUGUUACUCCCCCCAAAUGGUCCUUCAGUCACUGGUUUUCCCCUCCCUCUUGGCGCUGUUUCUAAUGGGAAGUUAACUUCCAUUUUGGCUGACGUGCCAUCAUCUUCUGUUGACACUUACUUAUGCUUGGGGAUAGUUGUCUUCUCUUAUCCAUUUUGGCAAUUAGGAACACACCCCUAAUUGCUGUUAUGUGCUGUGGGACUUCCGAAGGACAUUAACAUUUUUUCCUGACCCUGCAAAAUCUGAGGCAAACCUGGAAGGAAAUAUUUCAUCUGUUUUUAUUUCAUUGUGGGUUAGCUUAGGUGAAAGUCAUCAGUAGACUAAUUAUUUACUGGGUGUGGAUUCCCAGGUAUUUAUUGAAAACCCUGAAUAUUUUGGAAGUUUUUGAGACAUCUAGAAAUUGACUUGUGGACAAAAUUUCCCUGAAUAUUUAUUAUGGGUGUGAGGCUGUUACAGAUUCGUUCGUUCAUUCACUUAACAAGUAUUUAUUAAACACCUAUAUGUGCCAGUCACUGUUCUGGGCACUUGGGAUAAGUAGAUUCAUACAUUAUUUGUCUUUUGGUGACUGACUUAUUUCAUUGAGUUUAAUGUCUUCAAGGUUCAACCAUGUUGUAGCAUGUGUCAGAAUUUCUUUUCUUUCUAAGGCUAAAUAAUGUUCCAUUGCAUGUGUAUACCAUAUUUGGUUUACCCACUCAUCAUUAGGAUUGUAUUCACUUUUU